GACGUUGCAACGAAAUUCAUACAAUACAAUCCCCCAAUUUCAACCACGUAAGAUUAGAGCUAGUGCGCUUCCCUUUCCAACCAUCCUUAGUCAUUUGGGCCUCCCGAGGCACGUGCCCAGGGAAAUUUAAAAAAAAUAAAUUAAAAUAAGGUGAAAAGGAAGAAAAUGUGUCAUUUCAGAAUUCAGAUUAUGUGAGAUUCUCUCAAUGGCUUUCAUUCUCAUUCUCUCCUAAAAGAUCAAAACCCAAAAAUCCCUAAAACUUGUAAUUCGGCCUCCAUUUCCACCGGUUCCAUAAUCUACCUCCACUGCCGUCUGCCUCCUGCCUCCUGCCUCCUGCCUCCUGCCACUGCCACUGCCGAAGCCUACCACCAGUAGUGAGCCGCUCCUGUCCGGCUAUGAGCUGUCCCCGAAAAUCAGAAUUUUGAUUUUUGAAGAUAUUUUAAAUCUUAAUCUUAUUCUUAAAUAAUCCUCCAUCAUCUUUUCCUUCCUCUCAACAUGAAAAGAAAGAAAGUGAAACUAAUUUAAAAGCUCAUGUGAUGUUGUUGAUAACGGUGCCUCCAACUUGAGUCUCAUAAAUGGGGAAGAUGAAUCAAGGACUGAAAUUGAUGUGAGGGAGACACUGGCCAACGCCGAGUCGAUGUUGGUGGUGUAUGUGAUGCAGCCGAGUCGUCGUGGUUCAUUGUGAUUGAAGGAGUUUUCCGGUGAAUAAAGCCGAGUCGGCGUCCAUGGCUUGUGAAGGACAGCCGACUCGGCGGUAGGUUCUGCCAAGUUGCACAUUUUGUCCAGAACGUGAAGGCGACUCGGCGACUGGGGUCAUUUUGUGCCAGCGACCCCAGCCGAGUUGGCGGCAGUUGCAUUUUGCACUUGAGCAGUUUUUCUUCUUAUUUUGGCCGAUUACUUGUUUUGUAAGCAAUAACACAUCUUUUAUUGGGGAUUUAUAUAAAAACCCCCUUUUUAGGAUUAGAGUUUUCAUCACAAAUGAAGAGACAAAAGUGAGCCAUUAGAGAGAAUUUGUGAUUCAUCUUUGUAAAUCUUCAAGUUCAUAGUGAAAUUGCUCAUUUUCUGUGCCGGUGGAUGUAGCUAUUACAUUGACAGUGAAUCACGUUAAUUCUUCGGUGUUAUUUCUUAUUGUUUGCAUUGAAUUUCAUUAUUGUUU